CGUGGAUGAUGAAGGCCGAAAGGUUGUAAAGUCCUUUUGCUGGGGAAGAAUAAGUGUGGGAGGGAAUGCCCGCAUGAUGACAUGAACCGGCGAAUAAGCCCCGGCCAACUACGUGCCAGCAGCCGCGGUAACACGUAGGGGGCGAGCGUUGUUCGGAAUUACUGGGCGUAAAGGGCAUGUAGGCGGUCUGGUAAGCCUGGCGUGAAAGGCCACAGCUCAACUGUGGGAUUGCGUUGGGAACUGCUGGGCUUGAGUUAUGGAGAGGGAGCUAGAAUUCCUGGUGUAGGGGUGAAAUCUGUAGAUAUCAGGAAGAAUACCCAUGGCGAAGGCAAGCUCCUGGCCAAUGACUGACGCUGAGGUGCGAAAGUGUGGGGAUCAAACAGGAUUAGAUACCCUGGUAGUCCACACUGUAAACGAUGUGCACUAGGUGCUGGGGCGGUAGCUUCAGUGCCGGAGCGAACGUGGUAAGUGCACCGCCUGGGGAGUAUGCUCGCAAGGGUGAAACUCAAA
rnacentral:rRNA from 1 species